CUUCGGAGCGCUUUGUAUGGGAACGAGGCUGGAAAGCCGGAGGGAUGUGCAUGGUCGGGGUAUGAGGGAGACGGCGAUGUCCGCUACAAAGAGCAUCGAAUCCGGAAAAGGAGACCUUGGAAAUCAGUGAUAAAACACGGAAAUGAACUGACCUCAGAUCAGGAGUCGGAAGACGAGUGGAGAGUGGGAGUAGCGAUAGUGGUGGAGGAGUGAACCCGGAGCAGGU
rnacentral:lncRNA from 1 species